GUGAAAUGAUGAAAUCCGCUAAAAAUGGACAAUAUUAAGGAGUUAUUACACUGCAUUGAACCGAAAGAUGUGAAAAAAGCCCUCAUUGUGGUCGAAACUGUCGAUCAAACCAUUCGUCAAAAUGUAACAACAGCAGAAAUCGCAUUCGCCCUUCAAAAGGUCUUUCACAAAGAUGAAGGAACUGUGGCUUUUCUCACGGCGAUCGGACAAAAUAUGACUCGCAAUGGAAAAAUUUUCGACGCCCCAAUUAUUGCUUUGUUUAAACUUUGGGCCUCUUGGAUUCACGAUUUUUCUUCAGAAGUCAAGGAAUAUGGAGUGGAAAUCCUGAAAAUUACUUUGAGAUUCAUGAAAAGUGCUCAUGUCACGUCAAAAGUCAAAGAAUUGGCAGCUGGAGUCCUUUAUUCGUUAGUUGAAGCGAAAAUCCUGCCAGAAAUGGAAAUUUCAAGCAUUUUAAACGAAAUAUUGCAAAGUUACAGCGAUUCGAGGACAAUUAAAGUAUUUUAUGGAAAAGUUUUGCUCCAAACGAUGGGAUUGAUUUCCAAAUUUCAUCCUCAUAUCGCGGGAUCGAGACAUGAAUCCAUCAGAAAUGCCAUUCGGCAGACCAUUGAAGUGCGGUUAAUUGAAAAAGUUAAUGUAAUUAUUCGUUGAUUUCAGGAGCCUUUGAGGCGUUAACCGAUCACUUGAAUAACUUUCCGCCAGAUUUGAUGAUCGAUUCAGAGGUUGAUUUGGGAUUUAAGUACUAUAAUUAUGUGAAACCGUUCUCACUUUUGUCAGCUGGAGAUGGAAAAGAUGCCUCGAGAAAAGCCCUCAACCUCCUAACAGCCCAUUACCCACUUUUUCACGAUCAAAUCUUCAUGGAAGCCGAUUUUUGGCAACGAACCUUACGUGAGUGGAU